rnacentral:rRNA from 1 species
GACGAACGCUGGCGGCGUGCUUAACACAUGCAAGUCGAGCGGUAAGGCCCUUUCGGGGUACGACGAGCGGCGAACGGGUGGAGUAACACGUGGGUGACCUGCCCUCAGCUCUGGGAGUAAGCCCGGGAAACCGUAGGGUCGUAAUAACCGGAUAUGACUCCAUGACGCAUGUUGUGGGGUGGAAAGCCUUGUGCGGCUGAGGA